UCAAUAAGCGGAGGAAAAGAAACCAACAGGGAUUGCCUCAGUAACGGCGAGUGAAGCGGCAACAGCUCAAAUUUGAAAUCUGGCUCCUCUUGGGGUCCGAGUUGUAAUUUGUAGAGGAUGUUUCGGGUACCGCCCCGGUUUAAAUUUCUUGGAACAGAAUGUCAUAGAGGGUGAGAAUCCCGUCUUGGACCGGUGGUAGGGCCCAUGUGAAACUCCUUCGACGAGUCGAGUUGUUUGGGAAUGCAGCUCAAAAUGGGUGGUAAAUUUCAUCUAAAGCUAAAUAUUGGCCAGAGACCGAUAGCGCACAAGUAGAGUGAUCGAAAGAUGAAAAGCACUUUGAAAAGAGAGUUAAACAGUAUGUGAAAUUGUUGAAAGGGAAGCGCUUGCAACCAGACUUGAGCGCGGCGGUUCCCCCUUCCUUUUGGUUGGGUUAUUCCGUCGUGUCCAGGCCAACAUCGGUUCUGGGGGUCGGUUAAAGGCGCCGGGAAUGUACCUACCCUUCGGGCGUAGACUUAUAGCCCGGCGUGUCAUGCGACCUCCCGGGACCGAGGAACGCGCUUCGGCUCGGAUGUUGGCGUAAUGGUUGUCAGCGACCCGUCUUGAAACACGGACC
rnacentral:rRNA from 1 species